rnacentral:rRNA from 1 species
AAAACUUUCAACAACGGAUCUCUUGGUUCUGGCAUCGAUGAAGAACGCAGCGAAAUGCGAUAAGUAAUGUGAAUUGCAGAAUUCAGUGAAUCAUCGAAUCUUUGAACGCACAUUGCGCCCGCCAGUAUUCUGGCGGGCAUGCCUGUUCGAGCGUCAUUUCAACCCUCAAGCCCUCCCGGGCUUGGUGUUGGGGAUCGGCUGCCCUCGCGGGUGGCCGGCCCUGAAACCUAGUGGCGGUCUCGCUGUAGCCUCCUCUGCGUAGUAGAAAACACCUCGCAGUUGGAACGCGGCGCGGCCACGCCGUUAAAUCCCCCACUUCUGAAGGUUGACCUCGGAUCAGGUAGGAAUACCCGCUGAACUUAAGCAUAUCAAUAAGCGGAGGAAAAGAAACCAACAGGGAUUGCCCUAGUAACGGCGCAGUGAAGCGGCAACAGCUCAAAUUUGAAAUCUGGCCCCCGGGUCCGAGUUGUAAUUUGUAGAGGAUGCUUUUGGUGCGGUGCCUUCCGAGUUCCCUGGAACGGGACGCCAUAGAGGGUGAGAGCCCCGUCUGGUUGGACACCAAGCCUCUGUAAAGCUCCUUCGACGAGUCGAGUAGUUUGGGAAUGCUGCUCUAAAUGGGAGGUAUAUGUCUUCUAAAGCUAAAUACCGGCCAGAGACCGAUAGCGCACAAGUAGAGUGAUCGAAAGAUGAAAAGCACUUUGAAAAGAGGGUUAAACAGUACGUGAAAUUGUUGAAAGGGAAGCGCUUGUGACCAGACUUGGGCUUGGUUAAUCAUCCAGCGUUCUCGCUGGUGCACUUUGCCAGCCCAGGCCAGCAUCAGUUUGGCGCGGGGGAUAAAGGCUUCGGGAAUGUGGCUCCUCCGGGAGUGUUAUAGCCCGUUGUGUAAUACCCUGCGCUGGACUGAGGUUCGCGCAUCUGCAAGGAUGCUGGCGUAAUGGUCAUCAGCGACCCGUCUUGAAACACGGACCAAGGAGUCGUCUUCGUAUGCGAGUGUUCGGGUGUUAAACCCCUACGCGUAAUGAAAGUGAACGCAGGUGAGAGCUUCGGCGCAUCAUCGACCGAUCCUGAUGUUCUCGGAUGGAUUUGAGUAAGAGCAUACGGGGCCGGACCCGAAAGAAGGUGAACUAUGCCUGUAUAGGGUGAAGCCAGAGGAAACUCUGGUGGAGGCUCGCAGCGGUUCUGACGUGCAAAUCGAUCGUCAAAUAUGGGCAUGGG